rnacentral:rRNA from 1 species
CGACCGCGGUGCGGACUCGGGUGGUGGUGGUGGUGUGGGGACGAGGAGAGGAGACGGGCUCGAACGGGUUGUCGUAAAGAAAGGAAGAGAAGGGGCCGCGCAGAGGUGUGAGGUCCGACGUUAACGAAACGUCGAGGGUACCUCGAGCGUCACUCUCGGCGCCGCCGAAGGAGGAGGAGGGGCAGGGAGGUAGGGGCGCGCAUGGGACGGCGGAAACAGCGUCGGGUCCGGACGGCGACGGCCGAGCGGCCCACCGGCAGCGGCGGCGCCGCCGGUAGCGGGAGCUGGGCAAAGUCCUCUAGUUUUGGCUCGACUUACUACGGAGUUUUUGGCUCCACAAGCGUACGGGACAAACGAUACUUGGCGACUAUUCUUUUCCCGGCGGUCCGUACUUGGACGGUCGCUAAAUAUCCAGGCCUAAGUUCACAAGUUUUACGUUGUUCAGUAAGUGGUCGUUUCUACAGAAGAACCUAGAGUGACAGUGGAGUCCUUAUUUUCUUAUGUCACUUGAGUUCGGACGAUCUUGACUCGAUAAGUCCUCAGGUGAACAGAGCAAAGAAAUGCUCUCCCCCACCGCAGUCUUGAAGUUAGCCUCACCGAAGGGACCGGCGCUGCUUCUCAAGGUUAGUCAACGACCACCAUAUGAGCAACUACAGUCGACGCCGUCACCGAACAAAAGUUCCUUCAAACGUUCGAGACCCCGGAUGAGUAGACACUAACGAAACCUGAAAAGACUCUUAUACGAGGCGGUUACGAUACUGAUGUAGUUUGUUCUUCUUUGGGGAUACUUGCGCUUGGAGCGUGAACAUUCCCGACUAUAAAGCUCCGAGGGAAAACGAAGUACAAGUUAACUACGGUAAGUACGACCUCGGCGAUAGGUGACAACCGGUAGGGGAAGUUUACGCUAUCGACUUUAGUCGGCACACGACUUCGGGCCGCCACAUAAGCAUCGCUGUUGGAAGAAUAGGUGGGGGUGCUUGUCGCCGGAUAAGAGAUAGCUACGUGAUUUCGGUGACUCUGUCUAACAACCCGGUCACUUGUCGUCGAUGUUGAAGAAGUAACUUCCUCUCGACCUUCUGGACACGUCUAGGACACCGGACCAGUUGAUGUCGUCGUUCCACGUCUCCAGUAAGUAGUACAAGAGGUCCGUUUUCGGUAUCGACUCAUAGUGUAGGUCUGAAAGAAACAUAUCGGUCGGUACCACAUAUAUAUUAUAUCGACACGAAAAAAAAUGCGCACAUAUAUAUAUCGACAAUGCCAAACUAGUCCACCACCUUUACAUUGAGUUUGUGUGUAAUCCGUUAACUUGUUUUUACGUACCAGAGACUGAGACUACUUGUUAUCA